GAUGAACGCUAGCUACAAGCUUAACACAUGCAAGUCGAGGGGUAACGAGAGGAAAGCUUGCUUUCCUUGUCGACGACCGGCGCACGGGUGAGUAACGCGUAUCCAACCUGCCCCCAACUAGGGAAUAACCUUGCGAAAGUAAGACUAAUACCCUAUAAUUUCCUCAGAUGUCAUCUGACGAGGAAUAAAGAUUUAUCGGUUGUGGAUGGGGAUGCGUCUGAUUAGCUUGUUGGCGGGGUAACGGCCCACCAAGGCACCGAUCAGUAGGGGUUCUGAGAGGAAGGUCCCCCACAUUGGAACUGAGACACGGUCCAAACUCCUACGGGAGGCAGCAGUGAGGAAUAUUGGUCAAUGGGCGGAAGCCUGAACCAGCCAAGUAGCGUGCAGGAUGACGGCCCUAUGGGUUGUAAACUGCUUUUAUACAGGAAUAAAGUUAGCCACGUGUGGUUAUUUGUAGGUACUGUAUGAAUAAGGACCGGCUAAUUCCGUGCCAGCAGCCGCCGCCGUAA
rnacentral:rRNA from 1 species